GGUAUGGUGGCAUAGUGGUUAGAGUGUUGGACUGUGACUGGAGACCAGGGUUCGAUCCCCUGAAACCC